rnacentral:rRNA from 1 species
GACGAACGCUGGCGGCGUGCUUAACACAUGCCAGUCGAACGGAAAGGCCCUGCUUUUGUGGGGUGCUCGAGUGGCGAACGGGUGAGUAACACGUGAGUAACCUGCCCUUGACUUUGGGAUAACUUCAGGAAACUGGGGCUAAUACCGGAUAGGAGCUCCUGCUGCAUGGUGGGGGUUGGAAAGUUUCGGCGGUUGGGGAUGGACUCGCGGCUUAUCAGCUUGUUGGUGGGGUAGUGGCUUACCAAGGCUUUGACGGGUAGCCGGCCUGAGAGGGUGACCGGCCACAUUGGGACUGAGAUACGGCCCAGACUCCUACGGGAGGCAGCAGUUGGGAAUAUUGCACAAUGGGCGGAAGCCUGAUGCAGCAACGCCGCGUGCGGGAUGACGGCCUUCGGGUUGUAAACCGCUUUCGCCUGUGACGAAGCGUGAGUGACGGUAAUGGGUAAAGAAGCACCGGCUAACUACGUG